GAGCGGUAGAGAGAAGCUUGCUUCUCUUGAGAGCGGCGGACGGGUGAGUAAUGCCUAGGAAUCUGCCUGGUAGUGGGGGAUAACGUUCGGAAACGGACGCUAAUACCGCAUACGUCCUACGGGAGAAAGCAGGGGACCUUCGGGCCUUGCGCUAUCAGAUGAGCCUAGGUCGGAUUAGCUAGUUGGUGGGGUAAUGGCUCACCAAGGCGACGAUCCGUAACUGGUCUGAGAGGAUGAUCAGUCACACUGGAACUGAGACACGGUCCAGACUCCUACGGGAGGCAGCAGUGGGGAAUAUUGGACAAUGGGCGAAAGCCUGAUCCAGCCAUGCCGCGUGUGUGAAGAAGGUCUUCGGAUUGUAAAGCACUUUAAGUUGGGAGGAAGGGUUGUAGAUUAAUACUCUGCAAUUUUGACGUUACCGACAGAAUAAGCGCCGGCUAACUCUGUG
rnacentral:rRNA from 1 species